CUAAUCUAGCAGUUCAGGUGACACGGAAACUCACAGAGGAAGGGAACGCAAGUGAGAAAAAAUCACAAACCCCAAAUUUUUUGAGAGUUAAUAGCACUGCAGACAAAACAGUGUUGGCUGUUCAAAGCUAUUCCUGUCCUAAGGAAGUGACACGUCAGGAAAUUGUGAAUAGAGCUCCUGCUGCUAUUCUGUUAGCACUGAAGCUGACCCAGGGUUCCUCUUGCACUCUGGUCAAGUUCUUCAAGAGAUACAAAAUGCACAGUUCAAGCUGAACUUGUGCAGCCUGUGUGUGUCCCCAGAGGGUCACUGUUCUCCAGACCCUCCAAGGCCAUACUCAAGAGCAGGUUGACUGAUCUCACAGCUUUGAUGCAGCCUGGCAAGUUUGUUCACCACAGAGCUGAUGAACCACACUGGCCAACCUUCCCUCAGGAACCUGUUUGGGAACUCAAAGCUGCACCAAGGAACAGCAGCAGCUCAGGGAAUUGAGGGGCUGACAGCACAUAGGUGCAGUUGCAAAGUGUCCUUCAAAACAUUUGUCCAAGGUGCACAUGGAGACCAGAUACUGAGUCCCAGGUAAGAGGCCACAGGUAAUUCCAAAACAAACCAAGGGAUCCUGGGGGUACCGGCAGUCUGGAUUAGGGUAAUACCUGUAACCACCAUGGGCUCAUGCAUGGGGUAAACAUUCAUCUUGGUUAUACAUUCUUCUGAUCUUCAACCCCUGAUCUUGCACAAGGGAGAGCUUGUUACCCUCUCCUGUGCAGGCCAAAGCCGCUUCUAGUGGCUGGCACACACCUGAGCAGCCAUGUACCAACGAGGGGAAAGUCAGAAGUGUGUAACCUCCUGUGUUAUCCGUCAGACUGAGGCAAAAAACAGGCUUUCCUUCCUUUGUUCUUCCUUAAAAGUAACAGCUAAUAUGCACUUACAAGAGAGAAACAACCUGCCAUCAGCUAUCACUGGUGGUGCCAUUUCUGAGUAAGCUUUGUUACAUUAAUCACUGCAAUGCACUGGUGCCUGGACUUACUCAGCAGCAGCAUAAAUUAUGGAUCUGCUUUCAUCCACACUGAGCAGGGAUGCAGAGUCUGGCCCUGUGCUUCCCUCUCACGUGUACAGGGGAGAAUCCUGUUGCAUUUAUCAGCCAUUAAUAUGCAAAACAUUUAUUAGUGCCUGUAGAGAGAGGCUCAGGAACUGGAGGGGUAGUGGAGAAAGAGGGGAGGGGGAGGAAAAAACCUCAUAUGGUUAAGGCACAUCGUGAAUCAGCAGCUCCAGCACCUUUCCUCUCCUGGACAGUGAGCCUGACAUCGCCAUGGCCUUGUCUUUUGGUUUUUCCUUCCCCCUAGAACCAUUUUAAACUCAUGGGAAAUAUGAGGAGGUCUCUUUUAUACCCUAAACUUUUCUAUUGCACAAACUGCUUGUUCCUGUGAGAUGUGAUGCUUCAUUAAAUUAGGAGGUUAAUAAUUGUAUUUUAAGACACACUUUAAUAUCAGCAGUUUCCUCAUUAAAUGUUUUCUGCUUCAUAUACCUGAGCUAGUGCUGCUCAGUCAGUGGGUUUUGUUAAUGUUUGUGUUUCUGUGACAUUGAAGUGGAGGUGCUGUAGAAGAAAACUGUAGAACUAAAGUUCUGUGUGAUGUGCUGGAGCAUUCCUUUCCUUUGACAUCCUAUCACCUCUCCUCCUUUUGUAGUUUACAGACAUUCUGACAGCACAGGCCUGUGUUAGUUUAACCACAAAUAUACAGCUAACAAGAUAGAUAGAUAGAUAUAUAGAGAGAUGACAUAUGACAAGCACCUACCACUACUCAGUGUAUAAGAGCACCACUAACAAGCCAAAUGUUGCCAGCUCUUCCCAAAUCAGAGAAUUAUUACCACAUUUUCAACAUCAGUCAGUGUGAGACGUGGGUGACAAUUCAGUAGCUUCGCAGAGCCCAAAACUUUCCUGUCAUUAAGUAUUAAUUAAACUGGAGUUGAUCCCCAGUUUUCCUUAUGAUGUAUUCACUAGAAAAUGAUCUUUUUCUUGUGAGCUGUUUUAUAAAAUUCUCACUAUUUUACUUGGAGAUAUUUCAUGUUUUGUUUCAGGGUCCAACCCUCCCUUCAAUAAUACACCCAGAUUUCUGUUGUUGCUGUUAUUAUACCCACAUUUUUGAGGGGACAACUAUGGCACAUGCUUGCUACUUUCACUUUUUCUUAUUCCUGAUAAUCUGUACAAGAUGAGAGAUGAAAAUGGGAUCAUUUUCAGGUUACUCACCUGGAUUUAUCCACUUAAAUCUAGAUACAGAGAUGUCAGCUUGAGGUGACUGUGGUGAUGGCUCUAGGCCUGGUGUAUUCCAGACCAUGGUAGUAAGAAUUUUCUCUUCUGUUGUAUCCUGGGCAAAAGCUCCUUCUCAGACUUCAUUGUAUCACGUGUGAAAUAAUAUAUGUUUAUCUAGUGAAUUGCUUUGUAAGGAGGGUUCAGGGUCACUCUUCAGAAAAACAUUAAACAACUCCUGUCUUCACUUCUAAACUGCUGUCAGUCAGGGCUGUGCAUCUGGAAUUACCUUAAGAAAGAAACUGAACUGAGAAAGUGCUGAAGAAAAUAAACCAAACAGCCAAAAACGACUUUUCUGUUCUUGCAUCUGACAGACAAGAACCUGAUUACAGAACUCUCAAAUGAAACAUAAAACAUACUGACCUAUUUAACAGGCUCCAGCUAUAGAAGAGCUCAAAAUUAAGACAAGACUUUUUUCUAAGUUGUUUCUUAAGGCCUUAGUGCAAAUUAAAUUCAAUAACAAGAACCAUAAACAGCACCAUGGUUACAAGGAGAACUCUUCAUUCUCUGCUAUAAUGGAAUAAAAAAAUAAGGAAGAGAGAUGAAAAAAAUGGGAUUUACACCCCUCAGCCUUUCAAAGGACAGUCAGUUUUGGCUGCUUUAUAUUAAAAAAAAUCCAACUCCUCAUUCCAUUCUUUUUAUACAUCAGCAUUUUUAUAUUCUUUCUUGCUUUGGAACUGGUUAUAUUCUAUUCAGACAGCACUGGUUUCUAAAUGCAGAUGAGACAUGGCUUAAUUAUUUUUUAUAUAUCCCAUGUUAACUAUGGUAUGUUUUUAUCACAUGCUGCAAAUCUUUUCAUCCUUUGACUCGACAGCCUUUAGUUCUGCAGCCUGUGCAGUCAAAACUCUUGUUAGUGCAAGUGUAAUGAGCAGAGAAAGGGAUCCUGCCUGAAUCCCAUGUUGAGCACUGGUAAGUUAUCAAAAGGCAGCCCUUCAGCCCUGCCAAAUUAUGUUCAUCAGCAGACUUCAAACAGGAGCUGCCAGCCUUGGAGCUGCUGGGGUUCAGAGGAUCCAGCAGGAACAAUCCACCUCUUUUAUCUGUACAACUAAAACACAAAAGAAGCUGUACCAUCAAAGAUGAGUGCUCAGGCUCUGGAUCUGGGAUUAGUUCACAGCUCAGAGCUCCUGAAGGCAGAGCCCAGGUAGACACAUGCCUAUGGCAGGAGCAGCUCCCUGCUCGGGCAGCAAGUGGCUCAGGAGGGGAAAAACCCAAACCAAAAGGAAACCCAAAGCACCAGACAUUGGGUGCUGUGGCCUCCCAGGGAGGGCUGGAGAGCCCAGGGAGGGCAGCUUCAGCACCAAAGGCUCUUGUAUGUCAGCCAGUCCUCAGAUUUUAUUCAGGGUCUGCAUGUAACAGCUCCCAAUCCCAGAGGUAACACACCAUGGAAAACAGUCCCCUGGAGCAGCCUCCAUGCCCUGCUCAGUUCUGUGCAGGUCAGUGCUCUGGGCUGCCCAAAGCUCUGCUCCUCAGCACGUUGGCUCUUGGUUACAAGUGACAUGAGUUCUAAACAGGAGAACUGUCAGAAACUACUCCUACAAAUGUGUUCCCUACUCAGCUUCAGUAGUUUGAAUAAGAAAACCUACUCAGUUCAGGUGCCAGAGGAAUUGCUACUCACCUCCACCAGUUCAGUUGUCAAACCCAUGAAACCACCCCAAGCCCAGCUGCAGAUACUCUGCACACCAGUUAUCACUCAGUUAGUUUUCAGACACUGUUUUAAGCUUAGACACAAAAGCCCCAAAUAUUCCAAUCCUUCUAGGAAUGUAUCUUUAUGAUCAGGGCCUUAGUUUCCUAAGAGAUAAGCAAGAGUAUUUGAGUAUCUAGUAAUAAAUAUACUACACUGUUCCUUUCUGGGGGCUCAGGGUGGUGCUGGUUUAAGACCUUUCUCACAAUAUUGCAGUUUUUCUUACCAGUAAAUAUGUUGGGCUUUUCAGGUUUUAAGUCUUGCUUAGUUUUCCAACACUUGCAUUUUGUACUGAUGACAUUUACAGCUCACAUGGGCAUUACAAGUUUUUAAUGUGGCAGUCAUUACAUUCUUCUGAGAUUCCCUUUCCAUGAAGGAUCAGACUACAGAUAUUUGUGGUACUUCUAAAAAAAAGCCAAAAUUGGUGAGAUAUCUUAUCCUAUAUACAUUUCUGGUAUUACCAAAACAUACGAGCAAAGCACAGAAAAAUCAUCUCCUGUGUUUGGAAGGUGAAAGUGAAUAAAAGGAAAAGGGAAGUGUGAUCUGAGAAAGCAAAGAUGGGGGAAAUUCUACCUUUUGAAGAUACUGGAAGUCGAGCUGACCAUGGUCCUGAGCAGCUGGAGCUGCCCCUGCUUUGGGAAGAGGUCAGACAAGGUGAUCUCUGGGUCCCUGCCAGCACCAACUAUUUAUUCAGUGACCCUGAAGUGGACAAAGGUCACGGGCCAAUGCCAUAACUAGGACUGUUUUUCUUUAGGAAAAAGUAGUUCUUAUCAAGAAAAAGUGAAAUGAGUGGUACCCAGUCUUCAAAGAGUGUUUCUUUACAACACAAGCGCUGAGUGGAAACAUAAAUAAGUGGAGGAGAUUAGCUCCAUACUGGUAGUCCUAGUUCUGCAUUUUGGUUUUCUACUUUAUCAGUUUUUCUUCCAGUAACUUCCCUGGGAGUAUGCUGCAUUUUGACCUUUUAGAAGGUCCCACAGAUUAGAUCUCCCUUUG